rnacentral:tRNA from 1 species
UAUAAGGUAAACUAAUGGUAAGUUUUUAGGCUCAUAACCUAAUAAAAGAAGUUCGAUUCUUCUCCUUAUAA